UCGCCCCUUAUCCCCUCCCUCUAGUCACGUUCUCUCCCCUCGAGCAAAACAACCCAGCCUUUCCGGAUCCAAUCCUCCUCCAUCUCCUCCAACCACCCACCGCGACCGCUCCGCUGCUCCGGUCUCCCAAUCAGCGCCGCUCCAUCUCCCCACCCACCGCCGUGGUGCCACCGCUCCAGUCUCCCAAUCAGCACUGCUCCCCUCACUUCCCUCCCUAGGUCGCAGAUGGAGUCGAGCAGGUCAGCGCCGCGGCCAGACUCGCCACGGAUAAGCACCGUCAUCGAGCUGGAGCUGGGCCACGGCGGAGGCCGGCUUCUUCUCCACAAUCUGGUGCAGGGAGAGGAGGCCGCUGCUUCCUCCGGCGUGUGCUUCUUCUCGGGACGACAUGGAGCUCCUCAAGGUGACAGCCGUGUGGUGCGCGCGCGGAUUCCUCCUCAACUCCGACGCCUUCCGCCCUGCCCCUUUGCUGGCCAGGCCGAUUGAUUCUUCAUGGAGAUGCAGGUCGAGCAACAGAUGUCUCCGCCUCCAUUCAUGGGGUAGCUAGAUGGAUCAUGUAUGAGGAUGGAUCAGAACGGGAUGAUGGUGGUGAAGAUGAUGGUGAAGCAUCAGAGGAUGAUGGUGCCCGGUAUGAUUUAUAGUUUAUACACAUACUGCACUGUUAAUUAAAGGUUGUAACCUCACUGUCACGCUAAUGGACGCAAAAAAGAAGAGUGGUAGUACUAUCAAUGGUUCAGUCAGCGCCUCAACAACGUCUGCACUACUUCUGAUAUUGUUUUUCAGUAGCUUUUUUCUGCACCUUUUUCUUUCAGUUCUUAGUGCUGCUGCCCUAACCUAUAGCCACUUGUCCUGUCUUGAGCGUCAUCACGAUGUGUCGGAGUAUCUAUGCUAUACAUAUGUGCUAUGUCUCCCCUGUUUACUUUCAAUUAGCAUUGUUAAGCAGUGUGAAUGGCACUGGUUGCAAAUCUAAAUGCUAAUUACUUCCUAAGAUGUUAAUGUGUAGGAUGAAUGCUAUUAGAGAAUCAGUGCAGCAAUCAAAAGCAUUCUAGUAUUUUUGCUAAGAAAAUAGUGCCACCAAGAAGUUCUUUGUGGGACUAUAACUAUUAGUUGUUGGAAUGGUUCGUUUGGAUCCUUGCUUGGGUUAAUAGUUUGUUAUUCGCUGCUCUGUUUGCAAUUUGGGUUUAACUCUGACACAUAAUUUCUUGUGGCACCUGGUUCCUCCUUGUCUUUGUUGUGUGAAGAUGUUCUUUUUAUCAGGGAUACUUCUGCAGUCGUGCAGGUUGGUUUUCAGCAUGGUUCUAUAAAGAAGUUGGCACUUUGGUUAUAUAUGUUUUUUUAGAAUCACUUUGGUUAUAUAUGUUGGGGGUAUUGGUAGGGUACUUUGUUGCCUAUUCUAAGGCUGUAUAGAUGUUCUUGUCUGUGGUUUAAUUGCUCUCGCCGUUGGCGUUCUACACUGCUUGUGCUAAGAUCUGAAGGUGAUGAACUUGUAUGUAUUAUCUCAUGUUCUGAAACAAGGAUCGACUUGAACAUCUGGACUAGACUAGUGGAUGCCAGCAACUCCUCUGAAACUCUU
rnacentral:rRNA from 1 species